AUCUUCUCAUUGAGCUCCUUGCUGUCGAUCUGUGGCAGUUUAUGGAUUCGCACGAGAAGAAGAGACAGUUCACAGAGCUAGCAUUGUUUUGCCUCCAGUCUUCAGAGGUCUAUUCUGCUAUUCUGUGAGACAUUC